GAUGAACGCUAGCGGCAGGCUUAACACAUGCAAGUUCGAGGGGUAGAAGGAGCUUGCUCCUUUGAGACCGGCGCACGGGUGCGUAACGCGUAUGCAAUCUACCUUUUGCAGAGGGAUAGCCCAGAGAAAUUUGGAUUAAUACCUCAUAGUAUGUGAGGAUGGCAUCAUUUUCACAUUAAAGUCACAACGGCAAAAGAUGAGCAUGCGUCCCAUUAGCUAGUUGGUAAGGUAACGGCUUACCAAGGCUACGAUGGGUAGGGGUCCUGAGAGGAGAUCCCCCACACUGGUACUGAGACACGGACCA
rnacentral:rRNA from 1 species